CGCAGAGGCCGUCGACCGUCACGUGGAUGCCUUGCGGGGAGGCAUCAAGUAAGGAUCCCGUGGGGGAAACAAGGAGUGGGUGCCGGAGGAGACGAUCGGAGGUGGCUUCAUUGAGCGCUCCUUUAAGAACAAGGGUACUGCGAAGACACGGCCCUUCCUCUAGCGCCAAUCCUGUUGGUGCAAAAAUCCACUUGCGUCGGAGAAGCUGGAGUCGAGGGAGUCACGGUCGCCGCCGG
rnacentral:lncRNA from 1 species